UAUAGACAUAUUUUAGAGUGUACGUUCACUUAUUUUGCUCUGUAUGUAGUCUAUAUUGGAAUUUUUAAAAAGAUUUAUAUUUAGGAACGGAGGGAAUAGAAGCUUAGAAUUGUUUUUUUAUAUGGAGCUGUACGGCUAUGUGUGAAGUUGAUUCCAUGCGUACUCUAUUCUUUUUUCUUUUGAGAAGAUGCGUACUCUUUUCUUAGACUGGACCAAAAUAUCGUCAAGAAAUCGUGCUCCUUUUGUUCAUUUUUUUAGCACAACCUUAAUUUUGUAAAUGGUCGAACCAAGAAGUCCUCUAGCGCAGCUCUUCUCCCCUGCUUUUCAGUGGCAGCACCAGCGCAUGCACUCGUCGCUGGCUCGGCUGCGUGCCGCCGCCAACCAUAGCUUGAGCGGAUGGAAGAUGUAUGCCGCAGGGUCACUCUCGAUCUCUUUUUCCGAAUGGAUUUGAGGGAGCCUUCAGCCCUUCACAGGAACUUUUUCUUGGAUCUGAUACAAAAGAGAUUGAGAAUUGGGGAUUGUUCAUUAGAGGGAUUAGAGUUGAUAUCCAUUGCCAAAUGAAAAAGCACGAAUGGCCAUUUUGAGUCACUUGGUGACAUGAUGAUUCGAGGUAUGUAUACCUUAUCGCCGACAUGUGUUCCUGUGAUUAUUUGUGUCUCGAUGUAUUUGUUUCCAAGUUGUGUAAUUGUCAUUCUUGUACCGUUGCAUAAACCCGCUGCUUGGUUGAUGUUGCGUAGUAGCAUGACCGGCAAACCCACCUUCAGUUUUAACUUAUGGUCUGGUAUUCCUGGGGACGUUAAGGUGUUGAGGAACUCAGUAGGCUGCAUGUUCAUCAUGAUGUUGGUAUUUGUCGUUGCCUUGCACACUGUGUCCAGGCUUAGGUAUGUCACCUCUUCACCUUGUAUUUGGCUCAUUAUGUGGUCAUUUAUCUCCUUGACUGUAUCAUUUCUUGGACAUAGUAUUGCUCUUUCUUCUAGGUAAUCCCGCUCACAGUAAUUUUGCAACAAAUUUGGGUAUAUGCUUUUGACGAUUUGUUCUUUACGAUUUUAUCCUUUCUCUAGCAGUAGGUCUUUUGGUAUUUUUAUCCAAUCCUCUCCUUCAUCUGAUGUUGUUUUCCCAUCGCCAAUCUGUAGUAUCCACUCUGCCAAUUCAGCAACCUUUUGCUUUUGUAUUGGAUCAUCUGACAAACACUUCAGCCGCAUGUUCUGUGUUAACUCAAAUACUUCAAAGAGUUUCCACAGAUAUGACCUUUUGAUUGAAGCAUUUACUAUCUGCUCUCUCCUUCCUUUGGUUAUAACUGGCAGGAUUUGUCUGAAGUCGCGUCCUAGUAUAACUAUCAUUCCACCAAAUGACUUUUCAUCUCUGUUUUCAUUAGUGAACCUUAGAAUAUCUCUAAGGCUUUUGUCUAGUGCCUCGAAGCAGUGUUUGUUUGCCAUAGGAGCCUCGUCCCACAAUAUAAGUGAGGUCUUCUUUAGCAGUUCAGCCAAAUGCGAGCCUUGUUUUAUUUCACACGUUGAUUCUUUAGUGAUAUUAAGUGGAAUACGGAACCUUGAGUGUGCUGUUCUUCCACCUUGGAGAAGCAACUCUGCAAUCCCACAUGAUGCUACUGCAAGUACUAUCUUCCCCUCUGAUCUUAGCUUUGUCGUUAUUGCUUUCCAUAGAUAGGUUUUUCCUGUGCCACCGUAGCCUUCGACAAAUAUCUGCUUUCCUAGGCCUUUGUCGACUGACUCCAUUAUUGCAUCAUAGGCCUUUUUCUGGUCUUGGUUAAGAUUGUUUAGUAUGAUUUUGUGCUCAUCCUUGAGUUUGUCCAUGUCGUAGUUGACCUCUUCGUUUAUUAGUCUGUUCCCAAGUUCUUCUAGCUCUGCGGCAUUUGGUAGUUCUAUGUCUGGAUAGUCCUUUAGUGACUUUCCUACUUGCCUCAUCAGUUUUUCUAUCUCAAUCAGACCAUACGCUUUCUUCUGUGUGUUUGUAAGCCGAAGUGUUGGAAAGUUUAGAAUAGUCCUUCUUUUGUAUUGCAUAUCUUCACACAACGCCUCCCAUGUUGAAUCCCACAAUACCUUUGGGUUUGUGACUUCGCAAUGGGACAAUAUGGUGGUGAAUAACUGACGUAGUUGUGUUCUGGAUGCCCAACUUGAUGCUUCAUUGAUACAGUCAAUCCACUCGGUGUCAUCAUCAAGAAAUCCGAGGGCUUGGCAUGCUGAUUUGUAUGUUGGGUGAAUGACUCCAUCAACGGUCCUAAUGUCCUCAAAUGAUGUGCAUCCUUUCUUGGUGUUUAGAAGCAUCCUCAUAUGAUAUCUCUCGCCACUUGCGGGAUGUGCAUAGUAGAUUCUUCCAAUUGCAUAGUCCCUUUUCACUUCUGCCAACAUUUUGUUUUGCUUUUCCAUACAAACUUUGUAGGGAAUUUUGCGUAAGUCAAUCCUUUUCCUAGCUCGUAUAUUUUAUUUGCCUCCAUCCACUGAGUGAACUUGGUGAUUUUAGAUCCGUCCCUUGUUACUAUCUUUUCAAGAUCAGUGGAGUCUGGAAAAACGACUUGUUGCUCAUUUUCAAGAUGGAAAGGUAGCCUCUCAACUGUUGGAUCGCGAUACUGAAGAUCAAACUGAAAUAUCCUCCAGCAUGCUUCUGAUGUUGAUAUGUAUCUCAUCUCUAGGUAUUUCUUGAUCUCGUCAGUUUCGUUUGUCGUGCCCCUUUCCUUGAGCAAGGCUGUAACAUGGUCGUCGUCUUUAUGGAUAUACUUAAAUAGGUACUUGAUUGAUCUGGACCUAUUGCACCACUCGACAUUUAUGUGAGCUUGAUACUUGACUAGAAGGUUCCGGUUGUAUGGCACGACAAAUCUGUUGUCGAGCAUCACCCCUCCCUUUUUGAUCUGCCUUCCGUCAUCCCUCCUUUUAUAUACUGGAAAUCCGUCCUCGUCAAUGGUAGUGCUGACAUUGUAUCUUUUUGGGAAAUGCUUGGUGCAUCUAUGGUCCACCAUGCAUGGUGAGUUUUUCUUAGCCUCACCGCACGGGCCAUGCAUCAUGAAGUUCUCAACAGCUUCAAAUGCUUCUGGAUCCUCAUCCUUGUUUGGGAUCUCAGCGCUUAUUAUUUUGUCGAUUUGCGAUGGUUCCGGGUACUUGUCUUUGUCCUUCAAAAAUAUUAGUAUGUGGGCAUGCGGGAGUCCUCUCUUCUAGAAUUCUAUUGUGUAGAUGACUGCAGUUGAUUAAUAGUUUGUCAGAUUUAGCUAAAAUUAGAAUGCAUGUUACUAAAGAGCUAGAAUCUUACGGAGUAUAAGAUGAUGCAUGUUUCUAAAGAGCAGGAGUCUGACGGACUAUAAGAUGAUGCAAGAAAGAGUAAAGAUUGAUAGUCAAUGGGACUUACUUGCAACUGUUUCUCCAAAGUAUUUCUUUUCUUUUAUGUCUCUCAUUAGCUCCUUUAGUUUGAUCAUAAAUACUCUGUCCACAAUAUCUGGCCGAUCGGCUGGCUUUUGGCCACCUCCCGCUUCAUCUAGCAUGUAUUGGAUCUCAGGCCACUUUGCAUUGCAUGUGAAUGUUAUAAAUAGGUCUGGGUAUCCAGCCCAACGACAUAUUGCAAAGGCAUCUUGCAAAUAUUGUGCCUUGUUUCUUCUACCACCUGUAAACGAUGAAGGCACAAUUAUCCUCUUUCCAACUUGCUCUGUUCUUGUGUCCCCUUGCUCAAUUGCAUCCUGCAAUCCACUGUAAAGUUCAGUUCGUAGCUUUCCUUGAUUGUGUCGGAUCCAGUUUAGUCUAUUUUGCUCGAUACAUGUGUAUACAUCCACCCAAAAUUGCAGUGACAAAUGCCCGAACUUGAGCAGUAACAUUCCUUGAUCAGGACGUUGCUGUAGGUAGAAUGCAUAGUAGUCCAACAACGUUACGUAUUUCCUGCUGUUUGUACCUCCUUUUGUUUUCCUGUAGGGUAUCUCAAGUUUAAAACCAUCUUCUCCAUAUGGGAACAACAACGGAUAUUGCAUGGACAUGAAUUUCGGGUGGAUCUCUGAUAUCCUUUGCGGCUCCAUAUUUUUGUACUCAACAACAAUGUCACGUCCUUCACUCUCUCCGGUUGGAUCUCUUACUACCAAUGCUGCAACUUCAGAUGCGGAUGGAAGGUUGUGUGCUCCGUUCCUUUUGCCUAGUAUCCGAAGUGUGUAAUCAUGGUAGUCUCCUUCUUGGAAUCUGUCUCUUGCCAUUCUGAAUGUUUUUGCGAGGAUAUUGUUGUCGUCGAGCAUUCUUCAGUUCUUUGACGAUGUUGGGGUUCACUGUUGAUUUAUUAUCAUUGCAUCUUGACACACUUAUCCUGUUUUCCACCUCAUUUUCGGUAUUAUAGAUGUAUAGCUGUGCGAACCGAGGUUUGUCUGUACCUUGAGGCAAAAGAGUUCCGAUAUGGUGGUAGUUUUGUCCAUGCAAACGAAAAACAUAAGGUCCUUUGCGAGUGUUUAUUUCCUUGUCCACAGCUCCUCCCAUCGAUGUGAAUGAAAACAUUGAGUUGUAUGACCUUAUAUUUUCUUUGAAGUUUACCGUAUCCUGCCCUUCACUUCUUAAGAGGUUUCUAAGGUAUGGUGGAGGUUCUCUCAGUGGCGGCAGAUCGAUUUUCCCUUGUUUGCAGCAUAUUCCAAAAGAGGGUGUCGUAGUUCCUUUGUUUGAAUUUAAUCUUUCUUCACACCAUAGCAAUGCUUUGCAAUAUUGGCAUUUGUAUGUUGGCCUUCCGAAGUUCCAUGGCUUGCUAUUAGCACUUGUCGAGGUUCUGGUUCUGUUGUUAUCUCCAACAUUGACUCUAGUGUUGUUUUUGUUGGUUUCGCUUCUGGCGCGCUUCAAUUCCCUAUCUUCUUCAGCAUUAGCCUUUCUCAAUCAUUUAGGAGCCUCUGUGUUCGCAUUUCUUCUUCCCUCUGCAGUCCUUGUCCGCUUUCUACCCCUUGAGUUUAGAGGUUGUUCUUUCUUUCUUUUUGUCUGGUGAGCUGCUGGGUCUAACGUAUGUUGGACUCUCAUAUCUGCAAAUGUGAUUUUGUCAGUGCGUAUAGUUUUCUUAACAUAGUAUCAUGUAAUAUGAUUUAUGUUGUACUCCCUCCAUAAAGAAAUAUAAUAGCGUUUAGAUUACUAAAGUAGUGAUCUAAACACUCUUAUAUUUCUCUACAGAGAGAGUACUUAAUAGUGUUUUGCCUUUGCAGGCAUGCAAGUGCAUUUGGUGAUAUAAGAGACUACUAAUGGACGUUGUCACAUACAGUACAUCUGGAGAUCAAUGUUGUUUAUCUGGUAGGGAACUAUAAAUCAAUAAUUGUUCAACCGUGUUGCUCUUUUUGUAGCUUUGACAUUAUUAUGAUGGUAGUGUUAGGAUGCAUGAAGAAAAAGAAUUUUAUAGUUCAGUAUGAGAAGAGUUUUGACGCAAUGUUGAGCUGAGAUCAAAAUGCAGGCACACACAUGAAGAAUUGCAUGGGGAUAUUACCUGAGGCUGAUGGUGCUGAUAUUGUGUCUUCAGUUCGUCGGACGUUUCUUUGUGCCUUUGAUCGUUUGGGUGUCGCCGGCGUAUAUUGGAUGCAAGUUGCUGGAGUUGUUGCCAUACCUUCAAUUUGUUGGCCGUCUCUUGUGUUUGAUCUUCCCGACAUCAUGAAAAAGUAGCUUUUGAGAAAGUGCAUCAUGGGUCAUUUAUGAAUGUCUGACUUGUAAAAUUAUGGUUGAAUGAUGAUUAUGUGAUAUAGGCAGAGGGAAAAGUGUAUGUGACCAUACCUCUUGUUUGUUUUCUGAGACUAUGAUCUAGCAAUUUGACUAAUGUAGAUCACCCGAGGACAAAGGUUUUAUGAGAAUAUGUUGGCUGAUAAGGAAGCUAAAAUAAUGCACAAAUUAAA